UCUCUUCUUCCUAUGCUUUACUUCGUUUCUAUUUGUUUCUUCAUCCAUGGAUUUAACUUCAACUCAUAUGGAUUUAAUACACCCCUCCCUCAUACCCUUCCUGUCUAAUUUUUAUUGCGGAAAGAAGCUCAAUUGGAUAUUCUCUCAACAUCAAAAGCGACAUUCCAUUUUAUUUGUCAAAGCACCCAUAACAGAAAAGAUACCAUACCGUUUGUAACCUGCAACAUAUACAUAGAAGAUAACUGAAUGAGCAAUUUCACAUGAGUGGAGACUACAAACAAAAUAUUCAGAAACUACCCAUUAGUAUUUUACAACUAUAACAUAAGGAAAGCAAACAAUCAGAUUCUACGUGCUCAAAUAUUAGAUCACUAAAGAAUCUUGAUGGAAUUGAACCACCUUUCAUCUGGGAUCCUAAAAUACGACCAGUAUCUACAGAGAAUCUUUACAGGUAGAGAUUACUAUUAUUCAGUUUAGUAAUUUGAAGAGAAACACCUUAAAACUCCAUCUACUUAUGUAGAGCAGGUGAACCUGAUCAAUCUGCAGUUUCGGUGAUGAGUUUGUGAAUAAGGUUAGGAUCUGAUUGAUGCGGCAUC
rnacentral:lncRNA from 1 species